UACGUAGGGGGCAAGCGUUGUCCGGAUUUAUUGGGCGUAAAGAGCGUGUAGGCGGCCACACAGGUCAGCUGUGAAAACUCGAGGCUCAACCUCGAGACGUCGGUUGAAACCGUAUGACUAGAGUCCGGUAGGGGAGUGUGGAAUUCCCGGUGUAGCGGUGAAAUGCGCAGAUAUCGGGAGGAACACCAGUAGCGAAGGCGACACUCUGGGCCGGUACUGACGCUGAGGAGCGAAAGCGUGGGGAGCAAACAGG
rnacentral:rRNA from 1 species